CUUUACUGCAACUUGACGUUGGAACUUGGCCGUAUUUGUGUAGGAUAGGUGGGAGACUUUGAAGCAGGGCCGCCAGGUCUUGCGGAGUCGUCGUUGAAAUACCACCCUGGUGCUGACGAGUUUCUAACCGUGUCCGUAAGCCGGACAUGAGACAGCGUCUGGUGGGCAGUUUGACUGGGGCGGUCGCCUCCUAAAAGGUAACGGAGGCAUUCAAAGGUCCCCUCAGCGUGGUCGGUAAUCACGCGCAGAGUGCAAACGCAUAAGGGGGCUUAACUGCGAGACCGACAGGUCGAGCAGGUACGAAAGUAGGAGUUAGUGAUCCUGCGGUUUAGCGUGGAAUUGCCGUUGCUCAAUGGAUAAAAGGUA
rnacentral:rRNA from 1 species